rnacentral:rRNA from 1 species
AGGACUAACGCUGGCGGCGUGCCUAACACAUGCAAGUCGCACGAGAAAGGGCUUCGGCCCCGGUACAGUGGCGCACGGGUGAGUAACACGUGACUAACCUACCCUGGAGUGGGGGAUAACUGAGGGAAACCUUAGCUAAUACCGCAUAACACCUACGGGUCAAAGGAGCAAUUCGCUUUGGGAGGGGGUCGCGGCCGAUUAGUUAGUUGGCGGGGUAAUGGCCCACCAAGACAGUGAUCGGUAUCC